UAUGUGAAGUAAACUGAAUACGAAUUGAUUGUGGACUCUUUUUUUUACCAGACCUUAGGCUUGGUGGUGAACAGUAGAUAGUGAUAUCACCAGCGCAUGAGGUCAUACGAGUUU
rnacentral:misc_RNA from 1 species